UUUACAUUACAGAAGUAAAAGUUUUACCAAAUUUACAUGACUUGGAUUCGAAAUUCAAGGAUAAUUACAAAAACAAUACAAUUUACAAAAAGUAGGACUUACUUCUCUUAUGGAGAGGUGGGAGGGUUUCAAGUUAGGUUUCAAAGUAGGUUGUGCCACUGCUGCACAUUUUCAAGACAUCUAGUGGAGAAAUAACCAACUCAGAAACAUUUUCAUGGUAAUAUCAGCUGCUUCAUUUCAGGUUUGGCGUCUACUGAGAUAGGUCUUGUUAAAAUUACACUCCCGAUGUCGUGUGGUUUUACCUGGUAUUUAGCGUAGGUUUUCCAUUUUAUCCAAUAGGUCCACUUUAAAGUAAACUGAUACUUAGUUAAAAGUACCAUGGCACUAAUUUGUUUCUAACAAAUAUUGUACCAUACUUAUUCAAAAAUUUUCCAAGUUGAAGCAUGGAUUGACUUUGCCAGCACGUAUUUCAUCUUGUUUAGUCUUAUGCCUCCAAUUUUUAAACCAAUGGCACUCUUUAAAGAAAACAGCUCUUCAUGUUCUUUUCCUGGUUUCUUGAAGGUCUCAGAACUGUGCCCGAUGUGCUGUGAUGGCCACAGGACCUUUUUGUGACAAAAUGCAAUGCCACAGAUAUUUUGUUGCCACUGUAAAUUAAAGAUGUCUAGUGCCACUCUUGUCUUCAUGAAUUGCUAGCUCAAACGUAAGAGAUGUUGGUCUUGUCAUUGUGUUCAUUGCUGGCUGUGUUUGUCACAUGGUGAAGGCAACUGUUAAAAAUGAAAACAACAAAAUUCAAUUAUUUA